rnacentral:tRNA from 1 species
GAGGGUAUAGCUCAGUGGUAGAGUGCAUGCCUAACAUUCACGAGGUCCUGAGUUCAAUCCCCAGUACUCCCA